rnacentral:rRNA from 1 species
AUUGAACGCUGGCGGCAUGCUUUACACAUGCAAGUCGAACGGUAACAGGCCGCAAGGUGCUGACGAGUGGCGAACGGGUGAGUAAUGCAUCGGAACGUGCCCAGUCGUGGGGGAUAACGCAGCGAAAGCUGCGCUAAUACCGCAUACGAGCUAUGGAUGAAAGCGGGGGACCGUAAGGCCUCGCGCGAUUGGAGCGGCCGAUGUCAGAUUAGGUAGUUGGUGAGGUAAAGGCUCACCAAGCCAACGAUCUGUAGCUGGUCUGAGAGGACGACCAGCCACACUGGGACUGAGACACGGCCCAGACUCCUACGGGAGGCAGCAGUGGGGAAUUUUGGACAAUGGGCGCAAGCCUGAUCCAGCAAUGCCGCGUGCAGGAAGAAGGCCUUCGGGUUGUAAACUGCUUUUGUACGGAACGAAACGGUCCUGGUUAAUACCUGGGGCUAAUGACGGUACCGUAAGAAUAAGCACCGGCUAACUACGUGCCAGCAGCCGCCGUAAGAC